AAGAUCGAAGACGACGAUAUCAUCUCUCAAAUUCUUGCUGGAUUAGAUGCAGAAUACAAUCCUUCUGUCUCCUCCAUUGCCGCAAGAACUGGCGCCUAUUCCCUGAGUGAAAUUUAUGCUCAGUUCCUUGCCUUUGAAG
rnacentral:snoRNA from 1 species